UACAGGGGGUGCAAACGUUGCUCGGAAUCACUGGGCGUAAAGCGCACGUAGGCGGAUUGCUAAGUCAGGGGUGAAAUCCUGGAGCUCAACUCCAGAACUGCCCUUGAUACUGGCGGUCUCGAGUCCGGGAGAGGUGAGUGGAACUGCGAGUGUAGAGGUGAAAUUCGUAGAUAUUCGCAAGAACACCAGUGGCGAAGGCGGCUCACUGGCCCGGUACUGACGCUGAGGUGCGAAAGCGUGGGGAGCAAACAGG
rnacentral:rRNA from 1 species